rnacentral:tRNA from 1 species
GCCCUGGUGGUGGAAUUGGUAGACAACGUCCCGAUUAAUAUCGGGAUGGUCAGCAAUAACCGUAACGGUUCAACUCCGUUCCGGGGCA